rnacentral:misc_RNA from 1 species
GGUGAACUGGUGCGCCGGUGUGCCUGAUACGUGAGUGUCUGCGUGUGCGCGUGUCAGUGGUGAUCUACGUUGCGGCUGGAAGCGUGUUGGUAGUUUGAGCUGCCUACGCUCACAAACACGCACCUUCCCCCAGUGAGAGAGGCGAUGCUGUUGGCGCUGUCUGCACGUUGUUUCGCUGCUCACAGCUGACUCCUGCCCCUUUUUGUUUGCCUUUUCGACUUCUUUUUUCCCAAAGGCCUUCUAAUGCCGGAGGUGUCGGACGUGUGGCUGUUGGGGGUGGUGCUCACCGGUGAGACCACAUUCUGGCUGUGCGAGCCAACCCAUCUGAAACCGUUAGCAGAGGACUGGAAGGCGAUCAACUGCCGAUGGCUGUAUCCUGUCUUGGAGAACUUGAGCGAUUUUGCCGACGUGAGCGGCUUUGAGAGCACGGACGCCGUGUACGAGGUGGACUGGGUAGGGACAUCGAGAGUGCUGCGGCCCGCCACCCUGGCGUGGAACGUGCGAGGAAAGCGGCGGAAAGUCGGCGACACCACAUAUGUCUUCGUCCCUGCAGAGGAAAUUAAGCAGCUCGACGAGGCGUUUAAGCGGUUCGUGAAGCUGGAGGCAACGAUGAAGCCGCCACCGCCGCGCUGCGUCACGUCCUCGCCGUCUGCUGCUGAAACGCCGGGGCCUGCAGAGGCGAAAACGAUGCUGACUCUUCACGCCUCGCCGUCUGCACCGGUUCACCAGGAGGAGGAUGGUAAGGAUGGAAAGCCGCUGGUAACCGCAGCUUCACUCCUAAGCACGCAGUCGUCGGCACCCACUGCAGGUGAGGUUCCGCAGGAGACCGUGACAAAGGCGGAGGACGAGAGGAGCGCGUCGCGCCCCGCAGACAUCGACGGGAGCAUCGCCUCCUCAUCUGCACCGCACCCCAGAGCCCCGCAUCGCCGCGGCGUCACAAGCCUGUCGUCAUUUCCUUCUCACAAGCGACAGACGCCGCACCGCGGCACUACUAUCUACCAGGCUCCGGUGCACCGAAAGCCCACCGGCGAACACUGCAGCAGCGAAGCCUUUGGAUGGACCGAGAUGUAUCUUGUGCAUCGCGGUAGUGUCGACUACCUCUGUCCGAAGGCAACGGGCAACAUAUUCGGCUUCCGACUGGACCGUGUGAUGCACGAUGGGUUCCCGGUUUUUUUGCUGUUCUCUAGCUCCCAUAACAACAGUGAGGUCAUCGACCCCAGUGCACGCGGCGUGCCGGUGUUUGAAAAAGCGCAGCUGAACGGCGAGGCAGGCGAGGGGGCGGUGCGCAGCUCAGUGCUUGUGGUGACGCGCCUCAGCUCGAAGAAGCACCAGCCUUACUACCGCACCGACACCGGUCGCACCACCGCAGGAAGUCGCCGCCGCCGACGACGCGGCGAAGACGAUAGCACCACCACCGAGGAGGACGAGGACGUCGACGACUUAUUCGACGACGAUGACGACGACGACGACUCAGAAUCUGAAGAGGUCUAUGGGGAAGAGCAUCGAGUUGGAACACAGGGAUCGCGCCGGCGCGCUGGGGAUGAGGCAGCAACUACAGCAACACCUACAGCUGGCACCGCUGCUCCCGCAGUUGCCAAGAAGCCAAAGACAGAGGCCAAGGACCCCGCAGGCGAGAGUGCGGUGGCGGCAUCGGCGUCGCGUAGGAAGGAGAAGAGGAAGGCUGAUGCCGCUGCUAAUAAGCCGCUUCAAGCAGUGAGCGUGAAUUUCUGGGCGGACCCACAGUACGCGGCCCCUGCACCCGAGCAACUGGCCCGAGAGUUCCCGUUCAAGUCGGAGGGCUCUGACACGCCGCAAACGGUCGUGUUUAGCAACGGCAUCUGUGUCACCUACACGGCAUCUACCGCGGCGAAGCACGCGCCACAGGAGAAGAAGCGAAAGACGGCCAAGCACGGCGGCGCGGCCGCCUCAUCAGAGGACAUGGACUUGAGCAUGCUCAACGAGCACAUCUUGAACGCAUUUGCGCAGGUGAGGAAGGACUGCGUGUAGGUGUGUGUAUAGGGAGGUGUGAUGGAGAGGGAGGACACAGCCGCAUGGGUUUGCGAGUCUCUACCUGUGAGUAUUUAUUUUCCUCUGUGCGUGUUUCCGUCCUCCUCUCAUCUCCUUACUUCACCAUCAAAGGGAAGGUGCCCUGCCACUUCACUGCGGGUGUUCUGUGCCGCUGCUAUGGCCCGUUUGACUUGGUAUAUGCGUGUGCAUGUGCACUUGUGUGUGUGUAGCUGCCUCGUGCCUGUGAUGGCAUGAGCUACAGCGACGUGUACAUGUAUCGAGCGCUGAAGGAUGCGGAACAGUGCUCCAUAGAGAGAAGAAGCACAUCAACAGCUAGAACAGCGGCGAAUGCACAUCAAGUCACAGCAUAGAAUUGUGCCGCCGGCUUCGCUGUACACGAGGACGGGGCGGAUGGGGUGGCAGCAUGAGGAGUCACCUGCAUGUGCAUGUGUGUGUGUGGGUAGGCGGGGGGUGAGAGGUGGUCAAUCAUGUGUCUCUCUCUCGUUGAGAAGAAAAAGAGAUGGGCUGUGGCGACUCUUCUGCCCUUUUCAAGCUGCAGCCGGGUAGCGCAAAGCCCAGCGCCAAUUCUGUGCCGUCUACGUGCCGACCCUCGGAGAACCGUCUUGGGCCGUCCAUCCCUUUAUCAAGGUGUGGAGAGCUGGAGCGUAGGUGGCGCACUGCACUUACGCACUCGUAUGGACGAGUGUGGGGUGGUUAUUCGUACCCCUCUCCCCCUCCCACACGUACACACAUGCACACGUCCAAUGCUCCGCGUGCCCCGUCGCCGUCGCCGCACCCUCCAACACUUCCUACUUGUUAACUUGUCUUACACAACUGCCAUAAAACAAAAUAAAACACGGUAUCGUCGCAUUCAACCCGUUCUCUCUCCAUCUCUUUACCCUCAUCACGGGGCAG